ACGGAAGGCAGCAGUGAGGAAUAUUGGUCAAUGGACGCAAGUCUGAACCAGCCAUGCCGCGUGCAGGAAUAAGGCCCUAUGGGUCGUAAACUGCUUUUGUGGUGGAGCAAUAAGUCGUACGUGUACGGCGAUGAGAGUACAUCACGAAUAAGCAUCGGCUAACUCCGUGCCAGCAGCCGCGGUAAUACGGAGGAUGCAAGCGUUAUCCGGAUUUAUUGGGUUUAAAGGGUGCGUAGGCUGUGGUCCAAGUCAGGGGUGAAAGCCCGGAGCUCAACUCCGGAACUGCCUUGGAUACUGGAUUGCUGGAAUACGGAUGCCGUGGGAGGAAUGAGUAGUGUAGCGGUGAAAUGCAUAGAUAUUACUCAGAACACCGAUUGCGAAGGCAUCUCACGAAUCCGUCAUUGACGCUGAGGCACGAAAGCGUGGGGAUCAAACAGGAUUAGAUACCCUGGUA
rnacentral:rRNA from 1 species